rnacentral:rRNA from 1 species
CCCGCACAAGCGGUGGAGCAUGUGGUUUAAUUCGAUGCAACGCGAAGAACCUUACCAAGACUUGACAUGUUGGAAGUAGCAAACCGAAAGGCGAGCCACCUGUUAAAUCAGGAGCCUUCACAGGUGCUGCAUGGCUGUCGUCAGCUCGUGCCGUGAGGUGUUGGGUUAAGUCCCCCAACGAGCGUAACCCUUAUUGCCAGUUAUUUUCUCUGGCGAGACUGCCCGCAAAACGGGGAGGAAGUGGGAUGACGUCAAGUCAGCACGGCCCUUAUGUCUUGGGCUACGCACACGCUACAAUGGACGGUACAAUGGGAUGCAAUGGAGCGAUUCGGAGCCAAUCCACAAAACCGUUCUCAGUUCGGAUUGCAGGCUGAAACCCGCCUGCAUGAAGUCGGAGUUGCUAGUAAACGCAAGUCAGCAUAUUGCGUUGAAUACGUUCUCGGGCCUU